rnacentral:rRNA from 1 species
CGUGUAGGUGGUUGUAUAAGUUGAAUGUGAAAUCUCCAGGCUCAACCUGGAAACUGCAUUCAAAACUGUGCAACUUGAGUUUGGGAGAGGAGAAUGGAAUUUCUGGUGUAGGGGUGAAAUCUGUAGAUAUCAGAAAGAACACCUUUGGCGAAGGCGAUUCUCUGGACCAUAACUGACACUGAUACGCGAAAGCUAGGGGAGCAAACAGGAUUAGAUACCCUGGUAGUCC